GCAGCCGCGGUAAUACGUAGGUGGCAAGCGUUGUCCGGAUUUACUGGGUGUAAAGGGCGUGUAGGCGGGAUUGUAGGUCAGAUGUGAAAUACCCGGGCUCAACCCGGGGGCUGCAUUUGAAACCACAGUUCUUGAGUGCUGGAGAGGGAAGCGGAAUUCCUAGUGUAGCGGUGAAAUGCGUAGAUAUUAGGAGGAACACCAGUGGCGAAGGCGGCUUUCUGGACAGUAACUGACGCUGAGGCGCGAAAGCGUGGGGAGCAAACAGGAUUAGAUACCCC
rnacentral:rRNA from 1 species